GAUAACUGUACAAUUUAUUGUAAUAUCUGUAAAUCCCUCUACAGUAUCAUAUAAUAAUUUGUACACAGUUUAUUGAGAUAAAUGAGUUCCUAUGAAUUCAAUUAAUGAUUCGAUUAUUCGUUUUAGUGAAGGAAGGCUGAUGGUUAAAAAUGAUACUUGUCAUCUUGCCCAGUGAAAGCAAGUUUGAAAAGAUAUGUAUUUUUAAUUAAGCAAUUUGCUAUCAAAGACCUCCAAUUAGCACUUUGAAAAAUAGUUGAAUAUUUGAACAAUGAUAUAAGUAUUAAAUACCUAAGAUAUUGUUUACUUUAGAUUUUAAACAUAUAAGAUAUGAUAAAAAGGAUGCACCCAUUCUCUAUCCACCUUGAAUAAAGGUCUCUCCUGAGACAGAAGAUUUGUGUUUUAAUGGUCGCCAUGCUUAUUUUUGGAAAGGACGUUAUUAUCCACCCUUUCUGUUGCCGAGAUCUGACCAUUUCUGACAAAUUAACUGUUCUUGUCAUAAAAAUUAACUCACAUGGGAAGAAAUAUAAAACUCGGAAAAAUCUUUUAACUUUUGUGUCAGAACGCUAUGGAGGGGGUCACGUGACCGCCAAUAUCACGUGAUUCUCGCAUGCACAGAACGGUGGUUGAUGUGCAUUAAAAUCGGGGAGGAUUAAUUUAAAAUAUAAUCAACAUUAAAACCAAAUAUUGUUUCUUGUAUGGAAGUUAUUCAAUUAGUUUGCAAACUUUUUGAUCACCCCUCGUAUUUUUCUAUGUAAAACUUUGGUCGGCCAUUUUUGGUCCCGCCCUACCCCGGGGGGUCAUGAUUUGAACAAACUUGAAUAUACACUACUUGAGCAUGCUUCCAUAUAAAUACAAUGAAUUAUGGCUCUGUCAUUCUUGAGAAGAAGAUUUUUAACGAAUUUUCCUAUAUAUUUCUAUGUAAAAGUUUGGUCGGCCAUUUUGGCCCCGCCCUACCCACGGGGGUCAUGAUUUGAACAAACUUGAAUCUACACUACCUGAGCAUGCUUCCAUAUAAAUAUGAUGAAUUAUGGCUCUGUCAUUCUUGAGAAGAAGAUUUUUAAAGAAUUUUCCAAUAUAUUUCUAUGUAAAACUUUGGUCGGCCAUUUUGGCCCUGCCCUACCCCCGGGGGUCAUGAUUUGAACAAACUUGAAUCUACACUACCUGAGGAUGUUUCC